GCCAAAAGAGGUGGAAAUGCGUCAUUGAAUCCAGCUCACCCAGGGUUGGGAAUGAAGAAGUGAAGACAGUGCUACCCUGAUCAACCGAGGGAAGAAGGAGGGUUCAGGAGGCCAAACCCUGCCCGUGGAGUUCCCCGGAACUCAUGAGGAAGAGCAGGCUAGAGAUCCCAUCAGAUCUGGAGCUGCUGGCCUACGCCACAGCCACAGCAACACCAGAUCCAAGCCGGUUCUGCGACCUACACCACAGCUCACAGCAACGCUGGAUCCUUAACCCACUGAGCGAGGCCAGGGACCGACCCCUCGUCCUCAGGGAAUGCUAGUCAGGUUCAUUACCGCUGAGCCAUGACGGGACCUCCUGCAUUUAGAUUUUUAGCGAACAUCUACUUCGCGCCUCACCUCAAGUCAGUUGCUGGGGAGAAGCAGAAAGGAGGCGUGGGCUGGGCUAGUGCGCAGGUGGACUCAGCCCACCCCUAGUGAGGCUCCCUGCCUGGACUUCUGGGAGAGGCUUGAAUGAGCCUUGAAGGAGAUACCUGACUAUCAAAGGAGGGGGCGAAACAGCAUCCCGAGCCAAGGAAAUGACAUUGUGAAAGCCUCCAAGAUGUUUGGGGUUCAUGACUCCUUGGCACAGUUAAGGCCUGGGGUCCACGGGACAGUCGGGGGAGAGAUGAAGUGAUGAGGCCGAAACCAGAGCAGCGGCUGACUGCACCUCAGGAGUCUGCGGGGGAAGGACUUUGUGGACGUGGCGAUUAUCUCAACUGUUUGUGGGGCAAUCACAGGAGCAUCUGGGGAGAAAACUGGCCCCAGAAGGAAAAGGGCUGCAGGCGGGAAGACCAGAAAGGAUGCUGUUCAGAUGGCCCAGGUGAAAGCCAGUGAGGGCCUAGACUGAGCAGACGUGGUGGGAUGGAGGGGCCCCAGGAGACAGCUCUGGAUUUGGCAGUUGCGGGGGAGGAGCUAGAACAUUGUGCUUUUACAAGAGUGGGUUAUUUAUCCAAAAACAAACAAAACAAAACAACAGCAACAACAGGGCAUUGCCGCAAGCUGUGGUGUAGGCUGCAGAUGUGGCUCGGAUCCAGCGUGGCUGUGGCUGUGCCGUAAGCCAGCAGCUGCAGCUCCGAUUCGAGCCCAGGAACUUCCAUAUGCCUCAGGUGGGGCCCUAGAAAAGGACAGAAAAAAAAAAAAA
rnacentral:lncRNA from 1 species